rnacentral:rRNA from 1 species
AUAUGUUGUCAAACCUCCAAAGCUUGAUCUCAUCUGAUCUCAGAGGCUAAGCCUGGUCUGGUCAGUACUUGAAUGGGAGACUGCUGGGAAUACCAGGUGCCACAGUG